rnacentral:lncRNA from 1 species
GCGGGAGGGGGGCUCCACGGAGCUCCAGCCAGGGCCGCGGUUCGCCUGCACGUCACGGCUACUCAAACCCAAGCACGUCCCGAAAGCGGUAUUUUCUGCGUCUGGGAGGUUUUUGCAUCCUCAGUUCCCACCGCUGGGGCUGGCGGCGACCAACUCGCAGACCUGUCGCAGCCAGAGAGCUGUCAUUUCAGUACCGGGAUUCAGAAUUGAUCCAGUCCGCAGCGGAGGGGGCACAUCCCAGCUACCGAGCUGCUGAGUGUCUCUGGCUGGAACAAUAGUAUUUUUUUCUCUGCGAGGCUGCAAUUAACAUCUUAUUUGUUCUGGCUCCAUACAGGCUUUGUCAGGAUCGCGGUGCGGCGACCGACGUUGGGCUCUUGCAUUGCUUUGUGCUUGGCAAUGGAAUCAUGGUUUCGGGAUAGUCAUUUUGCCUCCUGGACAGUUGGCUGACGAAGUGUCUGAUAAACCAGCUUCAGAUACAUGCUACAAAAGGCUACUGAGCUGGCCUGAUGAUGAUCCUUCUGAGAUAUAUUUAUAGCAGAUGAUUUGUGGAUGAUAACUACGCCAAGCAAGACACUGUCUCCAGUAACCCCAGGCUCGUCUGACUUCCUCAGGGGAUUAUAAUAAAGAAUCACAAAAAGAACCCUAUAUGGACAGUCUGGUCUCUGGACACUAACAACAGCACAAUCCAAAGGCAAAGAAAGGAGGAACCACCUUGUUUCAUGUCUGCAAGCUGCUCCAUAUGAAAGCAUUGCUGACAUGUUGACCCAACAGCAAAAAGAGAGCAGCAGUUUACACACCCUCAGCUCUCUGUCCUUUCCUUUCUAUUGAUGUUGGUCCACUUUUAUGACUGAAUACAUAUUAAAAUCACCAUUUCAAAUUAUAAUUAUCUGCUUUCAUUGGUCUCUUUCACAAGUCUAUGUCUAUAUUUAUGUUUACAUAUAUAAACACAUAUACACAUAUUUUAUACAUACAUAUGUAUAUGUAUGCACGCAUUAUUUGUAAGUACACAUACACGUGUGUGUAUAUAUAUGUAUAUGAUAUGUAUAUGUGUAUUUCAGUUGAUACACAUAUAUUUGCUUGGGAAGUUUCACUACAUUGCUUUGUAUUUCUCUUUUAUAAGGUAAUGCAUUUAAUUCCAAAACUACCACAUUAAUUGUAUAAAUUGAUUAUUACAUAAGUUUCCUUGAUGAUUUACAGAAGAACUAUUGAGAGGUCAGUGUUAGCACAUCAAAAUAUAGUCUGGUAUGGCAUUUUAAAUUGACCCAGGUAUCUAAUAUUAAAGCCUUUCAAAUUUAUCUCUCCUGCUAUUAUUUUAUUAAGAUUACUUUGGAAUGAUGAGGUUAUAAGUGUGAUUUAUUUCUGUUUCAUCUUUUUGUCUGUAUGUGCUAAGUUUAGUCCCUCCACUUUGAGAAUAACCCUAUAAUCCAGGAUCAUUGCUUAAAAUUCAGUAUCAUUUGCAGAAUUCUCAUACUCAAAUAAGAAUGUUUCUAGAAUAUGUUUACUCAAUUUUAGAAAGUAUUUUCUCUUUCCUUCUUUCUGUCAUAGUUUUUCUGAUAUUACUGUAUUACCACAUUCUAAACUCUGUGACUUGUUAUUUUCAGUAAGGCUUUAAGAAGCAUGGAUAGGUUUGUAGGUUAUUUCUUGUUAAAUAUGCCUUAAUUUUUUAGUAUUUAGUAUUAGUAUUUAGUUUUUAGUAUUUAGUAUUUAGUAUCUCCCAUAUAUAUAUAUGCACACAUAUAUAUAUACACAUAUAUAUGUACACACAUACAUAUAUACACACACAUAUAUAUACACACACAUACACAAAGCUUUGGAAUGUUAAUUAAAUGAUCAAAAUAUUACAAGAUUACAUUGUUAUGAGAACUUAUCCUUAAUAUUAGCAUAUUUACUAUAAAGUUAAACAACUUCUUCUCCUCUGUCUCCUGUUUAUUAUCAUUAUUUUAUUAUUAUUAAAAAAGGAAGUCUCUCAGAAACCAAGCUGUAUAUCCUCUAGUCUCUAUGUAAAAAAACAAAUUGGUCAUUUUCUACUUGGACAUCCCAGAAUAGAAAGUACAUUGAAGUACUAAAAAAUAAAGGGAUAGACUUGGGGUUAAGGGAGAUGUCAUAGAACAGCUAUCCUGGGUUAGUUCAAGUGUAGUCCUAUUCCAUGCUAGGCAAAGUCAAGGUUACAAAAAUCCCAGUUGCAUCAGGUUUCCAUUUUUUAUCAUUAUUUCCCUAUACAACGAUACAAGUUAAAAAAAAGUCGGUAAAUACUUUUGGCCAUCAAUUUUCAAGAUUUCAUUGGUGAUAUUAAGGAAAUGCUGUAAGUAGGUAACACAUAAUGUCAUAUUUGUGUGCUGUAGAAGUAUCUUGGAAAAUAUGGACUUUAAAACCUCAAAAUAUGGGUUUGCAAUCGAACAUACAUUCACCCCCAAAUUUGACCUUUUUCAGCUAGUUAUUUUCUCAUAUAAAGUUACUAUACUUACACCAUUAUCUUUAAUCCCUGAAAUUUCAAUUAUACUAGAAAUCAAGAUUCUUCAUUUUUACUCACGAAACUGACACUAAGUAUAUACCUCAUUAAGGACAAGAAGCUAUGAAUUCUCUGGACUUCAGUUAUCUCACAGAAAAGAGCUUGAUUGAAUAAUGUCUAAGGCUCUUCCUGACAUAGUCUAAAUAACAGAAGGUGUCUCACAAGAAAUGGAAGCAGUGAGAGAAAAAUGCAAUUAAAUCCUAGACUAGAAAGAAUCACAAUUUUCCCACUCACAGGUUGGAAAUGCCUCUCUAUUCUAUCACAAUUUUGAAAACCUCCAUAGUUUUACUAGCUUUGCCUUUCUCCCUUGCUAUCAUCUUCUGAGGUACAGACAGUCCUUUCCAUUUUUAUUCCUCUCCCACUCUGAUAAUUUUUUUCUUUGACAGAAGUCCCACUUUAUCAUUAAUGAUGACAAUAACUAAGGCUGCCAGGAACAGCACAUCUGCUGAGCUUUAUCAACACCAGAUUCUCUCAUUUUGCCUUCUGGAUCUCCAUGCUUUUUUAUACCAACAAACAAGAGGAAGAAUAUUCUCUACCCACUUCCUUGACUGAAGCCUGCUCUUUUAUGAAGACAUGGCAUCUCUUCCAACCGUGUCAAACAGAUGCAAUUUAUAUGUCUGCUGCUUCCAUACCCUGAUUAAAUGGGUCAGUGGCAGAAUCAGUAUCCUUAGUCUCCCCUUUGGUUUCAAAUAUGUACUCCUUAUUUCAGUUUCAUGCUCACCUUUCUGUAGAGACCAAGGCAUCUGCCUUUGCAGCUUUACCUCUUCCUCCAGGUUAUAGUUUCCAUUCAUGGAAUCUUUUAGCUGCUGGCUGGCAGUUUUCCUGUCUACCUGACUUCCAUUCCUCUUCUCAUGACUUCAGCUCCCAUGCAGAUGUCUUAUCCUGACAUACUAGCUUCUCCAUUCUAUUUCUGUGUGUGUGUGUCUGUGUGUUUCCCUACUAGUUCAUCCACAUUUCCCUAUGGUCUUUUUUUUUUAUGUUUUAUUUUUGCAUAUGUGUAUUUCCUUUUAUUUAUUUAUUUAUUUAUUUAUUUAUGUAUUUUUUUUUUUUUUUUUUUUUUUUUUUUUUUUUUUUUUGAGACGGAGUCUCGCUCUGUCGCCCAGGCUGGAGUGCAGUGGCGGGAUCUCGGCUCACUGCAAGCUCCGCCUCCCGGGUUCACGCCAUUCUCCUGCCUCAGCCUCCCAAGUAGCUGGGACUACAGGCGCCCGCCACUACGCCCGGCUAAUUUUUUGUAUUUUUAGUAGAGACGGGGUUUCACCGUUUUAGCCGGGAUGGUCUCGAUCUCCUGACCUCGUGAUCCGCCCGCCUCGGCCUCCCAAAGUGCUGGGAUUACAGGCGUGAGCCACCGCGCCCGGCCUCCUUUUAUUUUUUUAAUUAUUAUACUUUAAGUUUUAGGUUACAUGUGCACAAUGUGCAGGUUAGUUACAUGUGUAUACAUGUGCCAUGCUGGUGUUCUGCACCCACUAACUCGUCAUCUAGCAUUAGGUAUAUCUCCUAAUGCUAUCCCUCCCCGCUCCCCCCACCCCAUAACAGGCCCCAGAGUGUGAUGUUCCCCUUCCUGUGUCCAUGUGUUCUCAUUGUUCAAUUCCCACCUAUGAGUGAGAAUAUGCGGUGUUUGGUUUUUUGUUCUUGUGGUAGUUUACUGAGAAUGAUGAUUUCCAAUUUCAUCCAUGUCCAUACAAAGGACAUGAACUCAUCCUUUUUUAUGGCUGCAUAGUAUUCCAUGGUGUAUAUGUGCCACAUUUUCUUAAUCCAGUCUAUCAUUGUUGGACAUUUGGGUUGGUUCCAAGUCUUUGCUAUUGUGAAUAGUGCCGCAAUAAACAUACGUGUGCAUGUGUCUUUAUAGCAGCAUGAUUUAUAGUCCUUUGGGUAUAUACCCAGUAAUGGGAUGGCUGGGUCAAAUGGUAUUUCUAGUUCUAGGUUCCCUAUGGUCUUUAACUAAAAAGUCUAACCAGUGACUAAACUGCUUCCAGUAUUUAAAAUUUAAUGUUUCAAUUCUCCAAUUACAACCUUCUGCUUUUAUAAACUCACCUCCUAAGUAACCACAUGGAAUCAAGUCUUUCACAAAAUUCAGGUCUUUUUUUUAUUAUUAGUGAUUCCCACCAAUUUCUGCUCUUAUCUUCACUUUCCUCCUUAUACCCUGUGGUAAGCAGCCUCUAACAUGGACCCAAAUGAUCCCUACUUCCUGAUAUGUGUGUCCUUGUGUAAUUGUCUCUCUCUUGAAUGUGGGCUAGAUUUAGAAAUUUGCUUUUAUCAAACAGAAUAUGGUAGUAGCAAUGGGAUGUUAAGAUAUAAAAUGACUGUGUUUUCCAUCUUGGGAGCUCCUUUACUCUUCCUUAGAGCAUUUGUUUGCCAGUAAGCCAGGUGCCAUGUUGUCAUACAGCCCUAAAUAGAGAAGUCCAUGUGAGUUUGGCCUUCUGAGGCCUGUCAAAAGACACAUGAGUGAGCUCAGAAGUGGAAGCUUCCUCAUUCAAGUCUUGAGAGGACUGCAGCCCAGCCAACAUCCUGGUUGCCACUACAUGACAGGCUUGAGCCAGAAUCAAGCAGCUAAGCUGCUUCUGGAUUCCUGACCUACAGACACUAUAAAUCAGGAAUGUUUGGCUUCCAACUGCUAAAUUUGGGGAUAAUUUGUUAUGCAAAUAUAGGUAACUAAUGUAUAUCCCAUGGAUUCCACGCCCAUUGUUAUAAUAAUUUACUUACAACAGUCUUCAGCUAUUUAACAUUUUUCUGGCUGGAUCACCACGUUUACUGUGAUGAACAACUGCCCUUCCUGAUCCAGGACCCAUGCAGCAGAGCAUUACUGAAGAAAUUCACACCCUCAGGCAGUUAGAUGUCCCUGUAAAGUUAUAGUCACCAGGUUCUCAUGAUCUCACCACACAGACUGUUACUUAUAAGCUCCCUCUCUUAUUACACCCUAUGAAUAUUUUGUAACUUUUCUCUGAUUAUUAAAAAUGCUUCUCCUCAACUCUUGAAUGAUAAGUGAUAACCUUUUUUCAUUCAUUAUUUAUAAAACAGAUGUGAUUAGAUGGAAAAUAUCUUAUAUUCAUUAAACUGAUUGUACCUUCACCCAUUUUCUCCUGUCUUCCUAUCUCCAGGGAGAUACUGCUCUUAUCUAAGAGCCAUCCCCUCCACAGGUAACUUGGAUAUUACUUCUAUUGGCUCUCACACCAAUAAUCUCUCCCUCUCUCCUGGACCACUUCCAUCAGCAUACAUAUUUUAUAGCAAUACUACCUGUCUAAAAACUUCUGAUCAACAACCUGUUUCUCAGAUACACUUCAUAAUGAAUCUUUUUUUAAAAAGCAAUCACAUUCAGUUCACUUCCUGACUCCCUCUCAUUUCUCAUCUCAAUCCAUUCUGGCUUCCACCCCCACAAUUCCACUGAAAAAAAUCUUGUCAAAAAUCACUAAAGACCUUCAUGAUGCCAAGUUAAAGGGAUAAAUGUUUUUCUCAUCUUACUCUAACUUUCAGCAGCAUUUUAAAUGCAAUGCCCUCCUUUUGGAAACCACUUCUAUUUUUGUUUCUGUUUUAUCAUACUCUCCCAGAUGUACUUUUACAUCACUGAUCACUGUGAAGACACUGAGACACUUCUCAGUGUCUUUUGCUUGUUCUUCUUCCACAUUAACUUGAAAUGCUGACUGCUUUAGAGAUAAGUGUUGGAUGUACUUCCCUUAUUUCUCUACCACCUCCCCUUCGGUGAUCUAAUCCACUCCCUAAUAUUGAAUAAUAGGGAGUGAAUAAUCCACUCCCUAAUGAGUAUGUAUAUGUACAUACAUGCAUACACAUAUAUGAAUAGACACCCCAUGUAUAUUCCUUUAACAAAGAUAUCUCCUCUGAGCUCUAGAUUUUUAAAUAAUCAGCUGCCGUGAUUUAUAUCUCUACUAAAUAUGCCUCACAGUCAUCUCAGAUUUGGGGUAAUUGAAGAAAAAUUCCUGAUUACUCCAAAGAAAUGUGCUCUUCCCUCAGUCUUUCUGUUUCAGGAAAUGGCAUCCCUAUCCACCUAGUUAUUCCAUUGGCAAACAUGGGAAUGAUACCUGCUGCUAAUUUUCUAUCACUCUACAUCUAAUCCCUUGACAAAUAUUGCCUGUUCCACUUUGUAGAAGUUUCCUAGGGCUGCCAUAAUAAAAUUCCACAAUGUGGGUGGUUUAAGCAACAGAAAUUUAUUUUUUUUCAGUUUUGGAGGCUAGAUGUCUAAAAUCAAGGUCCAUAUUGGAUUGGUUCCUCUGGGGCCUCUUUCUCUGGCUUGCACAUGGCUGCCAUCUUGCUGCCUCUUCAAAUGGGGUUGGGGUGUGCAGAGAUGGGCACAAUUCAGCUCAUGAUAUAACUGCAAUACAUAGAUCUCAAACCUAACCAGUUGUUUCUUUUUUCACUGUUAUCUUUUGUGUGUGUGUGUGUGUGAUGUACGUAGUUUUUGCUUAGUCUAUUCUACCUGGCAUUCAAUAUUCUUUGUUAAUCUAUCUCUAAUAAGUUAUACUUCAAAAACGUAUCCCUUUAAAAUCAAAUGGAAAAACAUUUUAAUUCCAGGUACUUCUCACGUAGCACAAAUAAUAAAAUCCAAACUUUUAAUCGUGACCGACAGUGCCCUACCUCAUCUGAUUCUCGCUCCUCUCUCUAACUUCAUCUUGUGUCACACUUCUGCUUACAUAUAAUGCCCAAGCUACAUUCACCUUUUUCUAAGUCACGAGGACGCUACAUUUUUAUCUCCUUACAAUCUUCCAAUGUCAGAAUUAUUCUACCUGGAAUACACUUCCCCUUUUCUACUGCUAGGAGAAACUUUAUAGGCCUGACCUGCCCGCUUCUCAUGCCUCAGAUUUCAUCUUGAAAAUUCCCUUUUUGGAGCUUUUUAAUUUUUUUUUUUAACCACCCAAUCUAUGGUGAUCUCUCCUUAUGUUCUCUUUCAAGGUACUUAUCUGCUUUGUUUUGUUUUUUUACUCAGGUAUAUACUUUAAGUUCUGGGAUACAUGUGCAAACGUGCAGGUUUGUUACAUAGAUAUAUACGUGUGCAUGUUCUCACUCAUAAGUGGGAGUUGAACAAGGAGAACACAUGGACACAGGGAUGGUAACAUCACACACUGGGGCCUAUCUGUUUUAUACUAGUUACCAAUUUUUAUUUAAUUGGUCUUCAUCUUUUUGUUUUUUAUGAGUGUGUUAGCUCCAUCAUUACAAACUCCUGCCUAAAGUAGUGCAAGACACAUGGUGAGUGCUUCCUAGGUCUUUAGUGAAUAAAUGGGUUGAACAACAUGGUAAAUCUUAUAUAUGGGUAUUAGUUGUGUCCAUUGGAGAAAUAUCUAUUCCAACAGCUCACGUAUUCCUGCAUAACAACUCAGCUAGAGUUCUCUCUUCCCUGUACCAAAUUCCUGAUUUCCUGAGAAAUUUCUCAGGUGACAUGGUCUCCAGACUUUUCAUCUUUAUGACUGUUUUCAAUUGAUCUUAGCUUGUCACAGUUCUUUGAUGCCACAAUUAAACAAAAUACUCCAGAUUUCAGCUGCUCAGCAUGGUUGUAAUACCCUUAUUUCUUCAAUCCAGAGAAAUAAACAGGGAGCAUCUAUGUAGCCAAACUGUGAAUUUAUAAUGAUGAAUGUCUCAUAUGAGGAGAAUAAGGCUUUCAAAUCCCUGAAGUCAACUGAUCAUUUACAUAUUUAACACAUAAUUAAUAAGCACUUACACCAUAUAAGAUAGUUGUAAGGUGUUUGGGAAACUGAAACGACAACACAGAGUCCCUGCCCUUCUGAUGAAUGCCUUGUAUUUGUAGUGAGAGCCAAUGAACAGCAAGCCACCAGAUAAUUAUUAAUGGCAAGUGUGUCAAAUGUCUCAGAGAAGAGACAAAGGAAGUUGUGAGAGGUGUGGAGUCUUGUUUGUGGGAACAGAGGGGAUGACCUAGUAUGGAAGGGCAGAGAACAUUUAUUUACCUGAAUACGUAACGGUUGACCAGCAAUUCGAAGGAUACUAAUGAAAUUUAGUCAUGCUCAUCAAAGGGAACAGAGUGUACAAAAAAAUUGAGGCAGAAGGAAGUGGAACACAUUCUAGGUAAAGAAAGUUAAGGUGAGGGAAUAAAAAGGACAAAGAGGUCAGUGGCAAUUGACAACAUUUCUGAUAAAUUGUUUGCUAAAUAUUAGGAUAAAAAUCAGUGAGUCUUGGCCGGGCACGGUGGCUCACGCCUGUAAUCCUAGCACUUUGGGAGGCUGAGGCAGGUGAAUCACCUGAUGUCAGGAGUUCGAGACCAGCCUGGCCAACAUGGUGAAACGCCGUCUCUACUAAAAAUAUAAAAAAUCAGCUGGUCUUGGUGGUGGGCACCUGUAAUCCCAGCUACUCGGGAGGCUGAGGCAGGAGAAUCACUUGUACUCUGGAGGCGGAGGUUGCAGUGAGCUGAGAUUGCGCCAUUGCAUGCCAGCAUGGGCGACAAGAGCAAAACUACAUCUCAGGGAAAAAAAAAAAAUCAGUGAGUCUUUGUAAUAAUAAUAAUAUGAUUGAAAGGAUUGUAAACAGAGACUAACUCAGAUUUACACAUUUUAACAACUAAUUUUCAUUUCAGUCGGAGGAGCGAUUUGAGAGAGGUAAGAGUGAAUGUGAAGAUUCAAGUCAGGAAACUGUUACAUAAGUGAAAAUGGUGGCAUCAGUAUGGAUGAAGAAGAGAAGUGUCCAAGAGACCUUUGGAGGCAAAAUUAAUAGAAUGUGUCAAUGGUUAGGUAUAAGGAGAAUGACUGGAUCUGGAUAAGAGUCUCUGUUAGUGAAUCUGCUGUAUGCACUGCUGGUUCAUAUUCAAGUGACAGUUAGUUAAAAUACGUUGAUCUAGAUAUUUAUUUAUAUUUAGAAUUAAGUGUUUAUUACUUUAUACAAUUGAAUUUGUGAUCUUAAAUGUGUGUGUGUGUGUGUGUGCUUGAGAGACAGUGUGCAAGAGAGAGAGAGAAGGGAGAGAGAGACACACACAGAGAGACACACACAAAACAUGGCGACAGAAAAUAACAAUUUAUUUGUCUCACAAAUAUGCAAUCUGGGGAGUCCUUUUCUGUUGGAAUAGCUUGUCUUUUGACACUGUCUUUCAGGGUCAUCUUGAAUAAACUGGGUGUGAAGGGUCCAUGUCCAAGAUAGCUCCACCUGUGACUGGCAUUUGGCACUAGCUAUUGGCUGGGGGCUCAGUAGGAGCCGUAACACAGGGGAUGUAGUACCUCUUUACACAGGCCAUUCUAUAGGGCUGCUUGCUCUUCCACACAGCAUUGCAGCUGUCUUUCAUAAGUCAGUGUUCGAAAAUGUAGGAAAAGAAAUCUGUCAGUGUCUUAAGACCUAGGUCUGUAAAUUGGUACAGAUUCAUGUCUGACAUUAUUCUUAGUCAAACAGUCACUAAGCUUGUUCAGCUUCAAGGUGCUGGUGGAGGGGGGCUGGGCUGGGAGGGAGAGAGCUGAAAAAUCACUAGUUCUUAAUGUAGUCACCAUUCUCAAUGAAAGGAAUAUUAAAGAAUGUGUGAUAUGUGGUGUACACUCUGUUCAUUGACAUCUUCUUGCUGGAUUCUAUCAUUCAAUAUGUUAGGUAUUAUUCCAUAAUCAAUGACAUCUGCAUAUCUGAAGUGAUUUCCAAGUCAGUGGCCACUGUUUCAACAUAGUGUCAGUGACAUACAACUAGAAACAUUUCUCCAUUAUAAUGCAAACUUCUAGAGGGCAGGAAUAUUAUCUUAUCCCAUAAUAUCAGCCUUUGGACAGCACUUGAUAAAUAUUGUUUUUCUAGCUCACUAAUUGAGAUCCUUUUAGUUGUUAUAGAAUGUUAUUUAAUCAAACAAUCCAUAUUUAUCUUUCCUUUCUUCAGGAACAUGAGAGAUUAUUUCAAAUACCUUGUAAGAAGAAGAAGCAUAUGUACUAUGCUUACAACAUUCUGCUCUGUGACAUCCCUAGCAGUAGUUGUUAGAUUAAUAGUAUUAUUUCUUAGUAUAGCCAGGCUGGUUUCUAUUUAUCCCCAUUUUGUUUUCUAUAAAUUCACAAACCACCUAUUCUGUAACAUAUUCCAUAAUUUUUACAGAGACCACUAUUAAAUUUAAAGUUUAUUAAAUUUAAUAAAGCACGAUUUCUAGAAUUCAGCCCCUUUUCCCAUUUAAAAUAAAGCCCGUAUUUAUCACCUACUACUAUUUGUUUCCUGUGUCCACCUAUUUUCCAAGAUUUUUCAAACGUAGUUGGAAAUACUUUAAUAAGAACACUUAUACUUUCUUUAAGUAUACUGUGAUGUAAUUUUUCUAGACCAGG